rnacentral:misc_RNA from 1 species
UCCGGUUCAUCACCGGCAGUCUCCUUAGAGUCCCCGCCAUUACGCGUUGGCAACUAAGGAUAAGGGUUGCGCUCGUUACGGGACUUAACCCAACAUCUCACAACACGAGCUGACGACAGCCAUGCAGCACCUGUCUCAAAGUUCCUUUCGGCACAAUCGCAUCUCUGCAAUCUUCUUUGGAUGUCAAGGGUAGGUAAGGUUCUUCGCGUUGCAUCGAAUUAAACCACAUGCUCCACCGCUUGUGCGGGCCCCCGUCAAUUCCUUUGAGUUUUAAUCUUGCGACCGUACUCCCCAGGCGGAUAACUUAUCGCGUUAGCUGCGAUACUGAACAGUCUAAGCUGCCCAACAUCUAGUUAUCAUCGUUUACGGCGUGGACUAC